rnacentral:lncRNA from 1 species
CCAAAUUCUUCUUGUAAUGGUGGGGGACAUAAUAAUCUUGUCGCAGUGGAUGUCAACUUGUUCUUUGAUGUAGUCAAUACCAGCAAUAACAACAUUCCGGGAUAGUCUACCAUUGGGCAUGAGUGACUCAGCCAGAUCACCUAGGUCAACGUACGUCGAAGAGCUUUGGAUAAUUUUAGUUCUGUCCAAACAGGAGCUGGAAUGAAUAAGAAAAUUUAAAAGUAAUGUAUGGGACAUGAACAUUAAAGUAGGCAACAAUUUUUCUUUGUAGUUGAGUUGUCGUAUGGUUGGAAAUAAGAAAUGUCGCAUGUAGUCGGCAUGGAAAUAGAUGACAUGUUAGUCUUGGAGAAAUUGCCAUGGGGUAGUUUGGAAAAGGAAUAGAUUGCACGUGUGUAGGGUAACAAAGUUGCCAUGUGGUAAACAUGGGAAGAAAGUGGCAUAAAAAAGAGUGUUUGAACUUGCCGUGUGUGGUUAUGUAAACUUGCCGUGUGAGAGUUUGUAACAUUGACAUGUUAUGAUUAUGACAAACGGGACACAUAUGUGGUAUCACAAAAAAAAUGCCGUCGGUUCACAAGUAAAAAUGCCAUGUGUGAUAAGAUGUUAAAACAAUAAUUUUGGGGUUGUGCAGUAUAAUAUCGUGAAUUUAUCAGUGAACACACAUGUAAAAAGAAAUGACUUGUGCAUCGAUGGGAAUUUUGUAGAAAGACAAGGUUGUGAAAAGCAAUUACUCUUUGAUGGCAUCCAUGUGUUUGCCACCGCUCCGUGCAUUGCCAAAACGCCUCAUAAUGUCAUAAAAUGUUU